UUUGGGUGGUUCAAUUUAUUU
rnacentral:piRNA from 1 species